rnacentral:piRNA from 1 species
UCACUAGGUAGAUCAGGCUUUGGCCAUAUA